rnacentral:lncRNA from 1 species
ACCAUGUGGUUUUGGGGAUGAGAGAAGACCAAACAUAGUCUGAAUCCACUUUCAGCUGAAAAUUUAAGAAAAAUAAAAACAAGAUUGAUGGUUAGUGUCAUUGCCUCGCAAAAAAAUUAGUUGGCUAUAGGAGAAGACACCACAAACAUACAUAUUUAAUGUGAAGAACCAUACUGCAAAUUGUUCUUUAUGAUGAAUAAUAUCUACUCAUCAUUCCUAAGUUAUUCUUUGAAUCAUUUUCACUCAUUCCUAAGUUUCUUUCUUUUGUAACACCCUAUCACAAACCAUGAAAAAUUAAGAAGCAAUUAACAAGUGAUUGUAGUUUAAACAAAGCAAAUAUAAUGUGCAUAAUAAGCUAUACUAUAUGGUAUAAAAACCAACUCCCCCAAAAAAUAAGAAACUAUGCUUCAAAAAAAUGAAAUUCAUUUGGUCCCUUCGGGGAAAAAUAAGAAAUUAUAGUCAAUUUCAUGCCAAUGAAUGGCUAAACAAAACAAAGUUCUAGAAUGCACUCAAUGGUUAAAAAAAAUCCCAUCUUUUCAAUUAGCUUCAAACCAAUUAGAGUUAAAACACAUCUAUAAUUAUUUGAAAUUAAGAAAUUGAACCUAACAUAGAAUAGAAAACGAAUGUGAAGCCGCAAACACCAAAUAAAACUUCAUACACCCAAAAUAAAUCUAAAUUAAAAUAAUUUGUAAUUACUGCAACCAUAAAUUAUAAAAACAACAGGAAACCAAAAAAAAAUGAAAUACAAAGCACAUAUUAAUAUACACUUAGAAGCAAAAGAAUAUUUACCUAGGGAUAACUAAAACCUUCUUAGAUAUAGGGGCACGGUGUGAACCGCCAUAGAGGUGGGAACAGUGGUAGUAGAUGAGUUGAAUUUGAACAAAUUCAAUCAACAAAAAUUAUAAUGCAGUGAACUUGCAUUAAGGAGUACUUUAUUAAUUUUUUAAUUCCUAAAUAGAAACCUAAUGAAAAUAAUUAGCUACUUACAUGCUCAACUCAACCAAUUAACCCUUUCAUGGAUCUCAAAUGCAUAAUCUAAAAGAAGAUGUAUAAUAGGAACGUGACAUUUCAAAAUAAAAAGGAAAUACGAGACUAUGUAAUUUUCAUCUGAUGCAGCCGAACCAAGCACCCCAUUGAGCCAAACCAUGUGAACUCGAAGGUCCAAAAUCCUAAAAGGGAUAAAUUCUGAACCGCAUUCAACCUUCUUCACAACACCUAUUCUCUCAUUCUUGUAGUAGAUAUCAACGUUGUGCUUUCCUUCAAA